GACGAACGCUGGCGGCGUGCCUAACACAUGCAAGUCAACUUGACUGAAGGAGCAAUCUGACAGUAGAGUGGCGCAAGGGUGCGUAACGCGUAAGUAACUUGCCCAAGGUAAGGAAUAACGUCGAGAAAUCGGCGCUAAUACCUCAUAAUGCAGCGGAUCCGCAUGGAUAUGUUGUUAAAGGUUUACCGCCUUGGGAUAGGCUUGCGUCUGAUUAGCUAGUUGGUGUGGUAACGGCACACCAAGGCUACGAUCAGUAACUGGUCUGAGAGGAUGAUCAGUCACACUGGAACUGAGACACGGUCCAGACUCCUACGGGAGCAGCAGUGAGGAAUAUUGGGCAAUGCUCGAAAGAGUGACCCAGCAACGCCGCGUGGAGGAUGAAGGUAUUCUAUAUCGUAAACUCCUGUGAGAGCAGACGAAGACAGAUUAUUAAUCUGGAUGACUGUAUGCUCAGAGGAAGCCCCGGCUAACUACG
rnacentral:rRNA from 1 species